AAAAUCAUCAGCAUUUUAUGUAUUGAGAUUAUUAAUAUUGAAUGCAAUAGUUAUUGGAUAUAGCUGGUAAUUAUUCUGCCAUGCAUACUUACAAUAAUCCUUCUACCUCUCACUCUUAACAUGGGCUAUGAAACUUCAGUAUAAAUAGAGGAAAUGAUUAUUUACAGGAUAUCCCAGGAAGCAUUAUUUUGGGACUUUCAUAACAGUGUACUCCCUACCCCCUGGGAAAUCUCAAAAGCCAAUUUCUUGUAGUGUAUUCUAUGGUGUAUGGAUCUGCGUUUGUUUUUCUUCUCUAUCAUUAACUUUUCCUGUAGGCAAAAUAUGAUAACUUGAUAAGUAUAGUUCUUCUCAUGCCUAUUUAAUAUUUAACUGUAAUGUAAUUGUGAUUUUUAAAAAUAAUUUAAAUGGCAACACUUUGCAAUCCAACCUGAUAUUUCAUUUAAUUUUUAAAAUGUAACAAUUUCUUAUAAACCAAUGCUAUUCUAAGUGAAAAUCAUGCACAUGAUUUUUUUCUGAGAAGGUUUAUCUAUAUAAGACAAAAGUUUAAAUAUUUUAAAACUGCCUUCUAUUAACCAAUAAUCCCAAGUAAUGCAAAGUAUUGCCACAAAUGCCCUCUUUAUUUUGCCUGCAUAGGCACAAUAUGAAUUUUUUAAUGAUGUAAUUUAAUUAUCAUAAUGAAAAUGCCAUUUUGUGAUCAUAUUUUCCUCUAAGGGAAAAAAAGAAUACAUACAGUUCUCAAAGUCUGAUGGUGAAUCCAUAAAAUAUGCUUAAAAUUAAAAUCGGAUGUUUCUAUGUUAUAUGGUUAUGUUACAAAUAGUUUUUGGUCCAAUCUUUACCAUCUUUUUCAUAUAAAUAUAUUUCUUGUACAUAUAUAUAUAUAUAUAUAUAUAUAUAUAUAUACACACACACACAUACAUACAUACACACAAAUAUACAUACAUAUAGACAGACAGACAGACACACAUACACACACACAGACACACACACAUAUAUGUACAAGAAAUGAGUAUUGGAGAGAAUGGGCCCAAAUGUGAAAAAGAUGUAAAGAAAAAACCCCACUAUUUUCCCCUCUGAAAUAUACUGUAUAUUUCAAAAGAAGUAACGUUAAAACAUAUUUGAAGAUUGCAGGGGCAAAAGACAAACCUACCAGGGCUCAGCACUUAAGCACUUUUCCCACAUCCAGGGUCAAAGCAGCAGUGAUUCCUACAUGAACUUUGAAGUGCAGUAUGAAAUGCAACAUUACACUUAUACACAGUACUGUCAAACCUCAAAUGCUUUCUUUCUUUAGAUGUUUUUUCUUGUACAUGAUAUUAGUAAACACUUUUCUCUUUAUAUUUGCUGGUAGUGAAAGUCAUACGCAAUAAAAUAUUGAUGAUGGUUGAAAGCAAUGGUCACUAAUCGGUUUAAAAAAACUAUAAAAUGUAAACAGAAUUGUUAUAUCUUUCUCCUGUUUGCUUUUCACUGUGUUUCUGAUGUGUUGAAUGAAUCUCAUGAAAGGAAAGAAAAAUAAUCUAGAAAUUUUUCAAAGCUGGUAAUAUUAAUCCUUAUAAAUGUAUAAAAUUUUAAUCUUUUUACAAAUUUAUUUAACUGUACCUGCUGUACUUAUUGUAGAUUCAAUGAUGCAGUUAAGUAGUAGUAACCCAAGGAUUUAUGAGUUUUGGAUUGCUGAUCUAUUUUCUUCAUAUUCAGUUCACAUCAGUAUUUGUGAAUUGGUUGUUUAGCUUUUCAUUCAACCAAAAAAUAUUCCCUCAAGAAAGCUCCAUUUUUAUCAUAAAUAUUUCAACAUAAUCAACCUUGGUACAAGUCUGCCAUGUUAAAAAGAAUUUAAAGACUUAUCUCUGAAAAUGAUACCCAGAAAUGCAGGUGUUCCCAGUAAUGUAGCUUCAAAAAUAAAAUGUUCUAUUUAUAUGACAUGAAAUUCAUAACUUUUGGAAGGGUAUAUUUAUGACAGCAUAAACAAUAAAUUCUGUGCUGUAAAGAACACCCACCAAAAUUAAUCAUAUUGCACAGAAAAUCAACACAAUUAUUGAAUCUACUUUUGUCAUUAACAUUUUCAGAAAACAAAAUGCAUAUUGUAAUAUUAAGUACAUGACACUUGCAUGUUGAUAUGCCUAUAUACUUACAAAGUAUUCAAUGUGUACUUAGUGGCGCUUAAAAUAUGUCAUGUACAACUCUUAUAAAACAUUCUUACAGGGUUCCCAUUUGCACUUCAUCUUUCAGUAAAGUCUUGUCAGAAAAAAUAUUUGUCUGAUAAAUAUGGAAAAAUAAAAUUUGAAUUUUAGUUAUCUGUUGGACAUUACUGAAUUGUCUAUUCAUUUAGUAUAUGUUUUAGGCUUGAACAUAGACAUUGAAAGAUGGAACUUUCUUUUUUCCAGUGACAACUUAUAAAAGAUGCUACAAAACGUAUAUCUUAUGGCAAACACAUUAUUUUGAAUACUUCUUUCCACUGCAUACAUUAUCCAUCCUUUUUUAGGUUUCCUCAAAGAUGCCCAUUUUUUCUUGUACUUUUCUAAAGGGACAUUAUAAAAAUUAAACAUGGUAAAAUAAAUGUUUUCUUAUUUGUACAACAUUCGUUACUCCUUGAAAUAUAUGAACCUUGUAAUAUGCUGAUUAAGGGUUAAAAAAGUGUUGCUGACUUAGGGAAAUUUGCUUGAGAUUGCCAAAAUUUCAAAAUUCUGUAAAAG
rnacentral:lncRNA from 1 species